AGGACCCUCAUGCUGGCCCUACCCCACCCCUUGACUCUGCUUCCUUACAGGCAGAUGAUGGCGGCUUGACUGAACAGAGUGUGGCCCAGGUUCUUCAGUCUGCCAAGGAACAAAUUAAAUGGUCGUUAUUGAAAUGAAGGCUGUGGAUUCAAGGCUCCCUGCCCCCCAGAUCAUUUCCCCAAUCCUGGCAAAAGCCCAAAGAUCCCAGGGUCAGGAGAGACCCCUCUGUAUCCCCAGGUCCCUCCCAGAACUGACUCCUAAGGUCUCCAGCCAGGGCUUCUGAGAUGCAAAGGUUUGGCCUCAGGAGAGUCACCUUUUCUCACGGCCCUGGCCUUAACUCAUAUCUUAGGCAUUCCUGGCCCCAGGGCCCUAAUAAACCUGCUUUUGUCUUCUG
rnacentral:lncRNA from 1 species